rnacentral:rRNA from 1 species
UACGUAGGUGGCAAGCGUUGUCCGGAUUUACUGGGCGUAAAGGGCGUGCAGGCGGUCUGUUUAGUCUAGGGUGAAAGCUCCCGGCUCAACUGGGAGAGGUCCUUGGAUACUGGCAGACUUGAGGGAGGCAGAGGAAAGUGGAAUUCCCGGUGUAGUGGUGAUAUGCGUAGAUAUCGGGAGGAACACCAUUGGCGAAGGCGGCUUUCUGGGCCUUACCUGACGCUGAGACGCGAAAGCGUGGGGAGCGAACCGG